AGAAUCAUGGAAUUUAAAGUCAUUAGAAACAGACUCCUGACCAAGAUGACACUGAGUAUUCUGAAGAGAUGAAAAAGCUUUGUCCUUGAACUUGACCAAUUAAGAAUGUGACAGAAGUCACCUUCAAGUGUCCCUUGAACGCCUGAUUAUCACUUUGAUUCUGAACUUCAGUUAUCCUCGGGGAAUGCAGAAAAGGUUUUUUGGCCUCUGCUUGGCCUCUCAGGUCUUUUUAAAUUGCCAAACGUUGUCCUUAAGCACUUGAGGAAGAGAUGAUGGCUGCACUGGGAUGAAAUUGGCUGCUCAUGGGAGACACCGAAGGCGCUCCAUGCAGUGUCGCUGAUAAGCAGAUGAUGGUGUUCCUGUUGGAGACCAGGUGUGUGGACCCUGUCCCUGUAACUGUGGACUCAGGAGCUGCGGAACCCAUCCUGAUCAACACUUCCCUGAAUGGAGCUUUGCAGCCAAGAUGAGUCAGGGAAGCCAAUUCAUCAGGACUUAGUGAGGAAGAGGAAGAGAGGGCAGCGCUGGGGUGUGAAACGCGACUGUGAGUGUGACCGAUGUCCCUCACAUUCCUGCCCAGACAGGGAACAGGACUGAACGCUUUAACGAAGGCGUAGUCUCCUAUCUGUCUGGCUCAUUUUGAAAAGCCCACGUACUGAAUGUGGACGUGUCCGCGGCCCCCAGCCCAUCAGCUCACAACCUAAGGAGCCUGGCGAGGAGGAAGCAUUGCAGCCCCUCUGCUCUGUGGUCUCUCAGAGGAACAUCAAGCCUAUUUUCCAGCUGAGGAAACUGGUUUCCAAAUCCAACUAUUAACUGAUAUUUCCCAGCAUCAAAUGCUGCCGAUAAUGAGCAAUUUAAGGAAUUAUCAUAUUGUCCCUCUGUGUUUCUUAAUCUAUGCCUCCUCUUAAUCCCUGUGCAUAUGUUCAGGAGGGCUUCUCUCCACUGCUAGCUAAUUACCCAGGACACAGGGACAGGCUGGUGCCCCAACAAGGGACACGAGGAGGGGGCUCAUGGGUGAACAGAACAAAUUCAACCUCCUUGCAGAGUGGCCUGGGCACAAGGAAUCUGAGAGUGGAAACACUGGCUUCACAUGGAUUAUUUUCAAGCUUAAACUGACGUGAGGUCAUAAAUAGCAAAGCUUGUGGAACUUAAACUCUUGGGAAAGACCAGCCUCCAGGCUUCAUGCUCAUGUUCCAUGUGAACAAACUUUGGAAGAGUUUUGGCAAAUGAGACCAUGAGGGAAACUGCCCAACAGGAAACACAGUGAUGGGAGCCCCUGGUGCCUCUUGCAUGUCCCUUCCUCCCCCAGUUGUGACUUUCAUUCUCAACUUGGAGUCUCCCACAGGGCACAGACACUCUUUCUGUGCCUUCCACUCAGCUGCUCCCGUAGACCGUUUUGGUAAUUGCCAGGACUUGUCACUAAUCCCCAGGAGUGGACGAGGGGGACUAGCCCUGGGGGUCAGAUUUGCUCCUCACUGGGGACGCCCCAGGCUCUCCGUGCAGACAGUGUCACCUGUCCUACAGAUGACAUGGUAAUGGCUCCUCAGUGGGGAGAUCAGGUCCAGGGACCCUGUCCCUAUAAAUAUGGCCCCAUCUGAGUGACACUUCCCUGCACAGAGCUGUGGGGCCAAGACCAGGCAGGUGAGUGCUCCCUUGUGUUCUACCUCAGGGCAGAAAGCAGCAGAGGAGGGCUCUCCCACAGGAGGGGAGCUCAGAGCUGUGCUGUUAGUGCCAGUGGGUG